GUUCCCCCAGUUCUUAGCAGGAUCAGUUUUGCAUUUCGUCUAAAUCCGAUGAGAAAAUCUUGGGGGAGGGGUAAGAUUUUGGCAACGUACUUUUUGUGACGUAAUCCUAAGAUUUUCAAACUGCCUUUACAUAGCCAAUUGUGAGUGUUGGGCGUUCCCUUCAGGUAAAAAUGGCGUUCCUUGUUAGUAAAAGGCAUUUUCUGGUGCUAAAAAGAGCGUGGCCUAAAAUAUCUUGUUUUGUUCCCUCCCCCCAGAGCGUAGUGGCUGGCGCCGCCAUUGGUAGCUUGUAAACAAAUCCUUUGACCCAUCGAUUCAAUAAAAAGAAAGAUUACAAAUGGUGAUGUUUAUGAAUGAAUUCUUUCCAAAUAUGUCUUCUCGGGUCAAAGCGAGGUCACCUCAGCUUGUAAUAAUCACUGUUCUAACAACAGUGCUCCUUGCAAAUUCACCUUCAACUACCGUGUCUGGAUUAGUUAGUUGAAUCAAGACGGAUCCAAAUCCAAUUCUUUAUUGGACUACUCAGCUGGUCACAAACCGUACAAUAACAUCUUCAGUUGAUACCACAGAAUUGUAAAUUGACUUACGAAAUUUUUCCGUUCUUGGUAAAUUUGGGCGACGUUUUCAAUCGUGUUUGGUGAAGCACUGUUAACGGGGGUGAGAUUGGAAUCAAGAAGAGCCACCCAGCUGAGUCUAAAGAAAUGCAAGUUAAAGAAAGAGAAUGUACUUGCCGGCAGGAUGUUGCCAUUUGUUAAAGAGAGGCAUUGGCGGCAUUCAUUAGCGUUGCUGAUGCUUUACUAUUAUUCCCCUGCAUUUUCUCACGACCAAAGACACGGCUUUAACUAAAGAUUUAUAAACUAUACUCUUUCUCGCAAACACCUGCAGGAGAAUCGACAGAUACUCAGAUCGAGGACUGAAUAGUUCUACUUCCUGGUCGACUUAUCGUGUGGUGUUUUUACGUGGCUGAUCAGCAGCACACAACUUCUGCGAAAAGUCUGACUUUAACGUUACGAAGGAGAUAUCAGACUAUUGGACACCCGGAAGAAGUCAAUAGAUUGAUGAUGGCAACAGUUAUCGUUCUUCUAUUGAAAAUAAACAGCCAAUGAGUUAUAGAAAUCGUACUUGCGUAACAGUUUUGUUUCUGUGUUUAUAAAACGCAGAAUCUUAGAGCAAGGCUCACAAAGCAUAAAAGUGCACUAAGGCGGAUGAUCUGCAUCUUAUUUGGCAGUGAAAACACACUUAUGCAUAUAAACAUUGAACAGAAUUCUGAGGUGUUUUCUUAACUUCGACGAAGUUCUUAAUCUCGAAUUUACAAAUGAUAUUACUUCAUAAAGUAAUUCUGCGAUGAAAUAUCAGGCUGCUUUUGAGGAGAUAUGAACAGAACAGCAAACAAAACAAAGUUCUGCAUGUUCAUUCUUCAGUGAAAGCAUACAGUAAGCAGAGUUUUUAUGAUCAUGCAUAACUGAACAUUGCCCAGAGACGAAGCAAAGAAGUCCGCAAAAAGACGAAACAAGCUACUUAACAGUUCAACAACAUUCCCAAAGCGCAAACUUGCCGAAAUAUCUAUGGGUUACGAGAAUUUUACUUCGAAGAUUAACGGCGCUAUCAACGCAACUCGAGGUCAUGAGCCAGCCAACCUCCUCGUUACGACGUCGAAUCCGCGAUUUUUGCGAGCAGAAGCAACCCCGACAAUACCAGUUAUAGACGGUCGAAAUCAUUCUGCGUCAAUCGCCGUAACCUGGUUUAUUAUUGGAAGUAUUGUUAUAGGAGGGUUGUAUUAUCUAGCUCGAAAUGCUUACAGAUCUUUGAGAUACUAUUGCCUGACGUCAAGAAAACCACAAGAAAUUUCAAAGCAAGAAAGCAGCGUUCGCAGAAACUCUUCAGCGAAACUUAUGGUUAAAGAAGAACACGGAUAGAGAGCUAAAUAAACAAUGAAGAUCAUGAAGUUAGAACUAAGAUGCAUAGCUUUGAAGAAGGGGUGUUGAACUCUUUAAUAAAGACUGUUUUCAGCAGAUGAAUGGGCAAUUAUUCAGUAUUUAAAAAAAUUAAAAAAUUGACGUUAUUUGCGGCAGAAAAGGGUGCAACGAAGAGUGUGCCAGUUUGUGACAACAGCCGACUAACUUAUUGUGCAAUUAAGCAUAAUCAUCGCAGAUGAAAACAUUGAACUUUUCAAGAUUAUUGCUAACCUUUUUCUCUAGCUAGCAAUACAGUAAAUACUGUUGUCUUCGGUUUAUAUCAUGCUAUUUUAAGGGGUAUUAGAUCUAAAAGAUAGUUUUUGAAUCAUUUAGCUACAUAAUAAAUCGUUUAGUUGUACAACGAUUCAUUUUUCAAAUGUCCUGUUUUUACUAUUUGAA